AUGUUCUGGAUCCGCCAGAGACCCGAGCAGGGUUUGGAAUAUGUCGCAAGCAUCUACUCCAAUAGUGCCUACACCUACUACGCGCCAUGGGUCGAGGGCCUGGUCACGAUCCCCAGGGACAACGGGCAGAGCUCGCGGGUGGCCGUGACCCUGCUAGAGUGCGGGGAGGACCUCCAGCCCCCCGGGGGGUCCCUGCGCCUCCUCUGCCGAGGGUCCGGCUUCAGUUUCGGCAAUUUUGGCAUGCACUGGAUCCGCCAGAGACCCGGGCAGGGGCUGGAGUGGCUCGCAGGGAUCAGUGACAAUGGUGGCAGCACCAACUACGUGCCAUCGGUCAAGGGUCGGUUCACGAUCGCCAGGGACAACGGGCAGAGCUCGGUGACGCUGACCAUGAACAACCUCAAGGACGAGGAUUCCGGGUCCUAUUUCUGUGCCAAACGUGACAAUGGUUAUGCUGGUGAAUGCUCAGGAUGA